rnacentral:tRNA from 1 species
GAGGAUAUAGCUCAGUGGUAGAGUGCAUGCCUAGUAUGCACAAGGUCCUGGGUUCCAUCCCUACUACCUCCA